CAUAUAAUGCUUGAUUCUAAUUGGCAUUUCGACAAAGAAUUUACAACUUAAUUGAAAGACAUCUUUUUUAGAAUCUUUACAUUAAAUUCAAUCUUUAACUUUUUUGAAAUGACGGUUCUCAUAACUUUAUUAGUAAUAGCGGUCCUGGUUUUCUGCUGCCUUGGUGCCACCCUGGAGGGGAAAUACGUAUCGAUUCCCCCUUGCUUUCCCAUCACUUCACCACCAGUACCACCACCAUGGCUAAAUGUUUCUGGUAACGACUUGAGCUGGUUGAUGUACGGAAAAUAAGUUUGCAAAGCUUAUCAAGACCGCAGACCGCACCUUUACUGAGAUUUUGAAGAUUCUUUUUAAUGUGAUACAUUGUAUUAAUCAUGAAAAUUAAAAACUCCAUCAAAUUCGA